rnacentral:rRNA from 1 species
UACGAAGGGGGCUAGCGUUGUUCGGAGUUACUGGGCGUAAAGGGCGCGUAGGCGGCGCACCAAGUCAGGCGUGAAAGCCCUGGGCUCAACCCGGGAAUUGCGCUUGAGACUGGUGUGCUUGAGUACGGGAGAGGAUAGUGGAAUUCCCAGUGUAGAGGUGAAAUUCGUAGAUAUUGGGAAGAACACCGGUGGCGAAGGCGGCUAUCUGGACCGUAACUGACGCUGAGGCGCGAAAGCGUGGGGAGCGAACCGG